AGGGGAAAUAUAGCUUACGUAGGAUUGCUUCAACCUCUCAAUAUUCCUAGCCAGGCUUGCACUGAUAUAUCAAUGGAUUUCAUAUAGCGCUUACUAAAGUCAGAAGGCAAGGAUACCAUUCUAGUUAUGGUAUAUUGAUUUACCAAGUAUGGCCACUUACUGGCUUUGUCACAUCCCUUCACUGCUCAAAACAUCACAUGAAUUUUUCUGGAUCAGGUCUAUAAGCUCCACAAGAUGUCAAGGUGCAUUAUCGUUGACAGAGAUAAGGUCUUUACAAGUCAGGUCUGGCAAGAAUUGAUGAAGAUGAUGGGAACUAGACUCCACUACAGCUUAGCCUACCACCUGGAGACUGAUGGGCAAAUGGAGAGGGCCAACCAAUAUAUUGAAGGUUAUCUAUGAUGGAUGACUUCCAAGAAGCCGAAGGCAUGGUCAAAUGGCUAGGGUUUUUAGAGUAGUGGUAUAACAACUCCUAUUAAUUGAGCUUAAAAAUGCCACCUUUCAUGGCCUUAUAUGGGUACCCCCCUCCACUAGUCAUUGAGAGCAAAAGUAGAGGCACCAGGAUGGCUAAGCUUGAGGAAUGGCUAGAAGAAAGGCAAGUAAUGAAUCGAAUGGUUAGGGAACAACUCAUGGACUUGCAGAACCGCAUGAAGUUCUUUAAGGAUAAAAAGAGGACCGAGAGACAAUUUGAGAAAGGGAUUGCGUGCUAUUAAAAUUGCAGUCCUAUCUCCAGUCCGGUAUCGCAAUCUGAAAAUGUUUGAAACUGGCACCUAAAUUUUAUGGGCCUUUUCAGGUGAUACAGAAAAUCGGGACAGUACCUUACAAGCUGAAGCUGCCUCAAAAUGCUAGGAUCCACAAUGCACUCCACGUGUCCCAAUUAAAGAAAUAUGAAGGAGACGACAACCUUGAAUACAGCUUCCUGCCAUUCAUGGAUUCAGAUGGACAAGUUAAGAUAGAGCCAAAAUAACUCUGCAAAAACGGGUCAUUACCCGCAAGAGUAAUGCUGUCAUGAACAGUGGUCUGUCCUGCUGCCAAUGAUUGGCACUACAGAUAUGCAAGCAGGAAUUCAGGAAGAAUCAAGGAAAAAUCUAGUUAUUUCCUCAUACUUUAUUAUUCUUCCCCUUUUCUCUCUUCUCCCGACCUCCCUUCUCUUCCCUCUAGCUUUCUUCUGGCCCACAGCUAAACCCUAAUAAGCCUAGAGCCUGACAAACUGGUCUGAAAUGGUCAAGAACUGGUUUGGAGUCAACUGAACUGGGUUAAGCAAACUCGAUGUGGUCAAGUCAGUUUGGAUUGGUCAACUUCAGAAGGUUUACGUGCACAUAAGAUCCAUGGGUUGUCUUGUGAUGACCGUCAAAUGUUGGGAUUCCAUCUAACAAUUUGUUUGGUCAUGCUGGUUUUGGUAUGGGUAUUGAAUGUUGUGGAUGUGUCAUGAGAAGGCAAGUUUUUAUAAGUUAAUGAUGAUUCGAGAGUUUGGGGGUUGCGUGUGGCUGAUUUUGGCAAUAUUUGAAGCUGCAGCUCAUUGGGGCAUUGGCUAACCGUCUUUAGUGGAGAUGAUAGUGGCAAUAUCAUCCACCUCUUGGCUGCAGCUGGAUUUAGGAAAAAGUUCAAUGACGUUGGCUAGGUUUUUGUGACUUUCCUCUCUAGUACGAUUUUGCUAGGGUUUUUCUUCUCAGAACGUUUAUUGGGAUUUUAUGGUAUGUAAAUUGGGGAGAACAGAAAGUUUGUUAUGAGGAACAUUAAAGGUAGCUCUGAGGCCAACUUGAUAGGUAUGCGGAAUAGGGGUUUGAAAGAUUAAAAAAAAAAGGAUAAAUUGAAUCCACUAUCAAAGGAAUUGACAGAAACUACAAUUACAUGGCUGUUACGUGUCUAUUUACAUGAAUAUCCCAUAGUAGUAAAAUACAUCCACUCCAGAAAAUUUCUAUUCUACAUAAAAUAUCAGUCUCUCAAUCUAUGAUUUCAUUAUUUUUUACAGGCAGCUGAAAUACUUGCAAAAGAAGGAAUCAGUGCUGAGGUUAUAAAUUUGCGCUCAAUAAGGCCACUUGAUAGGGCCACUAUCAAUGCCUCGGUCAGGAAAACUAACAGACUGGUAACAGUUGAAGAGGGCUUUCCGCAGCAUGGUGUUGGUGCUGAAAUCUGUGCAUCUGUUGUUGAGGAUAGCUUUGGGUAUCUCGAUGCGCCUGUUGAGAGGAUUGCUGGAGCUGAUGUUCCAAUGCCAUAUGCAGCCAAUCUUGAGAGAAUGGCUGUCCCUCAGAUUGAAGAUAUUGUCCGAGCGGCAAAGAGAGCAUGUUACAGAUCUAUGCCAAUGGCUGCAGCUGCAUAAUUGUACUGAUCAUCCAGGUGUCAUAGACUCACUGUACAAUUCUUUUCCCCUUUCAACAUGUUUGGGCAAUUUGCAAGAGGAGCCACUGACUAAAUAAUUGAGAUAUGGCAAUGGCGGAAUCUUUUUUGUGGCUGCAUUUCGUUACGUGAAUUUGGCGAUCAAGCAAGCAAUUGCCUGCUCAACUGAAAAGUUUUUUUGGAUCUAUUAUAUAUUUAUAAUAAUGUGCUAUUGCCUCAAGAAUUUUUCUUCUAAAAGGCAUGACAUGAAUAAUGUACCAUGGAUAAGGCAGGAAUGGGUGUGCUGCAGUCGCUACUCUUUCUGUUUAAGUCAGUCAUCCACACGUUUAAAUGAAAUUUGGAUCAAACACAUUUUUAUGUCGAAAGAUUUCUUCCCGCAAGAUAAUCA